rnacentral:rRNA from 1 species
AGAGUUUGAUCAUGGCUCAGGAUGAACGCUAGCUACAGGCUUAACACAUGCAAGUCGAGGGGAAACGACAUCGAAAGCUUGCUUUUGAUGGGCGUCGACCGGCGCACGGGUGAGUAACGCGUAUCCAACCUGCCCACCACUUGGGGAUAACCUUGCGAAAGUAAGACUAAUACCCAAUGACGUCUCUAGAAGACAUCUGAAGGAGAUUAAAGAUUUAUCGGUGAUGGAUGGGGAUGCGUCUGAUUAGCUUGUUGGCGGGUAACGGCCACAGGCGACGAUCAGUAGGGGUCUGAGAGGAGGUCCCCCANAUUGGAACUGAGACACGGUCCAAACUCCUACGGGAGGCA